rnacentral:rRNA from 1 species
GAUCCUGGCUUAGGAUGAACGCUGGCGGCGUGCCUAAUACAUGCAAGUCGAACGCACAUUUCGGAUGUGAGUGGCGAACGGGUGAGUAACACGUAGGUAACCUGCCCAUAAGACGAGGAUAACUACUGGAAACGGUAGCUAAUACUGGAUAGGAUAUUGGAUCGCAUGAUUUAAUAUUUAAAGGUGCUUCAAAGCAUCGCUUAUGGAUGGACCUGCGGCGCGUUAGCUAGUUGGUGAGAUAAAAGCCCACCAAGGCGACGAUGCGUAGCCGGACUGAGAGGUUGAACGGCCACAUUGGGACUGAGACACGGCCCAGACUCCUACGGGAGGCAGCAGUAGGGAAUUUUCGGCAAUGGACGCAAGUCUGACCGAGCAACGCCGCGUGAGUGAUGAAAGUUCUUCGGAACGUAAAAUUCUUUUAUUUGGAAAAAACGUAUAGCAUAGGAAAUGAUGUUAUAGUGAUGGUACCAAAUGAAUAAGCCCAGGCUAACUAUGUGCCAGCAGCAGC